rnacentral:lncRNA from 1 species
GAGAUAUUGAAACUCGGGUGGUUGCUUUUCAGAACUGUUGAAGUCCACAUGAAGGCUGGUGGAGAACUGCAGUGCACGUUUUCCUGACUUCACGGACAUCCAGCUCAUUCGCAAAUGACAGCUGUUGACAUCUCUCUUUUAAGCACUGUAUAUGUUGAUGUUUCUUAGCCGUAGAGUUGUGCUGCAAGGUCCGGCAGUAUUUCAAGAGCACUAUCCACUACCACAGAUACAGUUCCACCUCAGGCCUUGGGGACUUUCAACUCUGCUUCUCUGCUGCGUUUGCAUCAGCAUAUCCAUCCCUUCUUUCUCUAUAUAG